rnacentral:rRNA from 1 species
GUGCUUGCACCAAAUGAAACUAGAUACAAGCGAGCGGCGGACGGGUGAGUAACACGUGGGUAACCUGCCCAAGAGACUGGGAUAACACCUGGAAACAGAUGCUAAUACCGGAUAACAACACUAGACGCAUGUCUAGAGUUUAAAAGAUGGUUCUGCUAUCACUCUUGGAUGGACCUGCGGUGCAUUAGCUAGUUGGUAAGGUAACGGCUUACCAAGGCAAUGAUGCAUAGCCGAGUUGAGAGACUGAUCGGCCACAUUGGGACUGAGACACGGCCCAAACUCCUACGGGAGGCAGCAGUAGGGAAUCUUCCACAGUGGACGCAAGUCUGAUGGAGCAACGCCGCGUGAGUGAAGAAGGGUUUCGGCUCGUAAAGCUCUGUUGGUAGUGAAGAAAGAUAGAGGUAGUAACUGGCCUUUAUUUGACGGUAAUUACUUAGAAAGUCACGGCUAACUACGUGCCAGCAGCCGCGGUAAUACGUAGGUGGCAAGCGUUGUCCGGAUUUAUUGGGCGUAAAGCGAGUGCAGGCGGUUCAAUAAGUCUGAUGUGAAAGCCUUCGGCUCAACCGGAGAAUUGCAUCAGAAACUGUUGAACUUGAGUGCAGAAGAGGAGAGUGGAACUCCAUGUGUAGCGGUGGAAUGCGUAGAUAUAUGGAAGAACACCAGUGGCGAAGGCGGCUCUCUGGUCU